AAGCAGCCCUGUGCUGGAGCCUUCAGCCCAGCCUCAAGCGCCGCUCCCACCGCUAAUGCCUGUCCCUACACCCUCAAACGGGUCAGGGGUCCUGGACUGAAUGAAAAGUAGAAAUCAUGCUGAGCAUCAGCCUUCAUCACUCUUUCAUAACUGUGGACUGAAUGAGACCAGCUGCCUCAUGCUCCCGCCACAAUGCCUCUUUGGGGAAACAUUCGCAGAAGCGAAGCAGGAGUUGCCUGACAGCCUGAGGGUCAGGAAGGAACAACAAAAGUGACCCAUCCAUUUCUGUAGAAACGGGCUCAGGACCACCAGACUGCCUCUAGAGUGACUUGAUUUGAUUCCAUUCGGAUAACAUACUGGAGGGCUUUUUAAAAAAU